CCAUUGUAAGAGGACCCUACUCGUGAAUAUUCAACCUAGAAGUGCUGGAUUUUUCAUUUUAAAAAGGAAGAAAGGAAGAAUAGAAAAAGAGAAAGAAAAAUGAGACAAUAUAUAGUCAUCAUCGGCAAACCUAAUAAAACAAAGGUAAGAAAAAAAAAUGACAAAGCUCAGUCACCUAUAAUAUAGAAGCUUAACAAGUUCCCAAAUUCUAGAGAAUGUAAGCAUCAAAAUUCACAUUUGACAUGGCCAAGCAAACUAAAGUGAGGCAUAUCAACCAAGGAUACUUGAAUAGGGGCAUGAAAAUUUAACGCUUCAAUACAGAAGGUCAAUAGUUAUGCAUGCUUUUGUUUGAUACUUACGGCCAAGUCUAUGGAACUGAAGAUGGCAAGUGACAUUUUUGCUGUUGCAAGUAUCAGAAAAUUAUGUCCUUUUUGGUUUAUUAUCUUUGCUUUACUUGUAAUCUUAGCAAAGCAUGGUCAAGUAUGGCCUAAAUGUUGUUUAGGUGAAAGUGUACUAAGUAUGGAAAAGUUACUGCUGCUACAGUAUUUUAACACGUGCAUAGCAGCUUUUUGUAUUUACUUAAAUAUAUGUAAUAUUAAAGCAAUGAAAUGGAUUUUUCUCUUCACUUCUUUGUCCUAAAACUAACAAAUGGUAUCAGAGCACUCUUGUUCUUAGAGAGACGGUGGAAUUGAGAGAAAACAAAUGAGAAAACCCCACCAAAAGACCUUUUUCAACAGAAAAUGGCUUCAAGCAAUGCUAAAGCACUUUCACCACCAGUCUUCAAUGGUGACAACUAUCAACUUUGGGCUGUGAGAAUGAAAGCCUCGUUGAAAGGAUUAGGUUUAUGGGAAGCAGUAGAAACAGGAGUUGAUCCUCCUCCAUUGAGGGCUAAUCCCACAAACACACAAAUAAAGCACCAUGCUGAAGAAGUAGCAAAGAAACUCAAAGCACUCUCUUAUAUACACUCGGUGUUUAAGUCAACAUUCACAUGCAUUAUAGCGUAUGAAACAGGAAAAGAAGCUCGGGACAGACUUAAGAAGGAGUUCCAAGGGAGUGAAAAAACAAGACAAAUACACGUCUUGAACCAAAGAAAAGAGUUUAAGGCUUUAAAGAUGUAAAAAACAAAGAAUGUGAAGGAAUUCUCUAACAAAGUUUUGAAGGUUGUGAACCAGAUUAGGGUCCUUGGUGAAGAACUUCCAGAAAAGAGAGUUGUAAGAAGGUUCUUGUGAGUCUUCUUGAUAGGUUUAAAGCCAAAAUUUCCUCUCUUGAAGACUCAAAGGAUCUUUCACAAAUUUCACUAGCAGAUCUUGUUAAUGCACUGCAAGCAACAAAACAAAGAAGGAAUUUGAGGCAGGAAGACAACACUGAGGCUGCUCUUGUCAUGAAAAACAAAGAGAAAGUUCAGUUCAACUCAAAAGAGAAAAAGUUUAAUGAUAGAAGGAACAAGAAAGAAGGUGACAACACCAUUUUACUGGUGCGACAUAUUUAUAGGAGGCCUAAUAUCAGAUGGGAGGCUCUGUUAAAUUUGAACAGGCCUAGCUCAUCCCAAAAGCUAGCUCAAGGGGAGAAGUGUCUAUGGCCCAUAUAAGGAGCACAUUACCCUUUUCCACAACCGAUGUGGGAUUCAACACAAACUAAUCAUUUGGAGAAAUUUUGCUGGUACAAACCUGAUAUUCAAUGCAGGUCUUGUAAAAAAUUUGGACAUAUUGAAAAAGUUUGCAAGUCAAAGCCAAGUCAAGUAGAACAUCAAGCUCAAACUGUAGAAAGUCAAGAGCAAGAUGAGGCAAAGCUCUUUGUUGCAACUUGUUAUGCAGCUGGAACUAGAAGUGAUUCAUGGCUCAUUGAUAGUGACUGCACUCAUCAUAUGACAUCUAAGAUUGCCAUGUUCAAGAAGCUUGUCAAGUUCUAUAAUUUCAGAGUAAAGAUAGGAAGUGGAGAAUUUUUGGAAGUCAAGGGCAAAGGUAAAAUCUCAGUUGAAACUCCAACAGGUACAAAACUAAUUUCUGAGGUCUUAUAUGUACCUGCGAUAGACCAAAAUUUAUUGAGUGUUAGUCAGAUGCUUGAGAAAUAAUAUCUCUUGUUGUUCAAAAACAUGACAUGCACAAGCAUGGAUCCUGCUGGAAAUGAUUUGAUGCAAGUAAAAAAAAAAAGAUAAAAGCUUUUCCUUAAGGAGGAAUAAGUCAAAUACACAUGCAUUUUCUAGUUCUGUUGAUGAGUCUGCACUUUGGCACAAAAGACUUGGACACUUCAACUUUCAUGCACUUAAACUCAUAUAUGAUAAGUGUUUAGUUCAAAACAUGCUUGUUGUAUUUUCCACAACUAAAGUGUGUGAUAUGCCUCAAUUUGGAAAGCAAACCAGAAUUCUUUUUCCUAUUAAUCAAUUAUGGAGGGCAGUAGAGAAGUUGCAGCUUGUUCACAGUGAUGUUUGUGGUCCCAUGAGUUCUCCUUCACUCAAUGGGAGCAAGUAUUUUGUCCUUUUCAUUGAUGAUUUCUCCAGGUUCUAUUGGGUGUAUUUCUUGCAACAAAAAUCAGAAGUGCUAGGGAUGUUUCAAUUCAAAGCUACAGCUGAGAAUUAAUGCAACUCAAAAAUCAAAAUACUCAGAACUGAUAAUGGAACUGAGUAUGCUAACAAGAAUUUCAAUAAGCAUUGUGAAAAAGGCAAGAAUUCAGCAUCAGUUUACAACUAGUUACACUCCACAGCAGAAUGGAGUCAGUGAGAGAAAGAACAGGAUCGUUAUGGAGAUAGCUAGAUCCUUGAUGUUUGAGAAAAAAUUAUGGGUUGAGGCAGUAAAUACAUUAGUCUAUCUCUUGAAUAGACUACCAACGAAGACUUUAAAAGAACAAACUCUUUUUGAAGUUUGGUUUGGAGUUAAACCUUGCAUUGACCAUCUAAAAGUCUUUGGGAGCAUAUGUUAUGCUCAUAUUCCAGCUGUGAAAAGAGAUAAGUUGGAUUACAAGUCUCAGAUUGUGAUUUUUCUAGGCUAUAACAGCAAUAGGGUGUUCAACAUGGAGACAAAGAGUGUAAUGGUUUGCAGAGAUCUGAAAGUGGAUGAAGAAGCUUACUGGGAUUGAGAAAAGGCACAAGUGAAACCUAUAAACAAUAAUCAAAUUCAGAGAGUUGAUUCUCUCAAUCAAGAACUAGCUCAUGAAUAAGAAGAUGUAGAUUCUAGAAGUGACACAAAUUCAGAUUUUGCAGUCAGAGGUACCAGCCCUCUAGAAGAAAUUUAUGAGAGGUCUAAUGAGACCUUGUUGGAGCCAACAAGUCUAGAAGAGGCAAUGCAAUCUCCAAAUUGAAUGAAUGCAAUGCAAAAGGAGCUGAAAAUGAUAAAUAAAAAUGAAACUUGAAACUUGGUUGACAGACCAAGAAAUAAGAAAGUAAUUGGUCUAAAGUGGAUUUAUAGAAUCAAACUCAGCUGAGAUGAUUCUAUAAACAAGCACAAAGCAAGAUUAGUUGUGAAAGGCUAUUCACAACAGUUUGGAGUGGAUUACACAUAUACCUUUGCUUCAGUAGCAAAGUAUGAUACAAUAAGGCUUCUCAUUGCCUUGGCUGCUCAAAACCGUUGGAAGAUUUAUCAGCUUGAUGUGAAGUCUAUAUUUCUAAAUGGUUAUCUACAAAGAGGAGAUUUUUAUGGAGCAACUACCUGGUUUCAUAAAUAAGGGACAAGAAGAUAAAGUUUUCUUACUCAAGAAAGCUUUAUAUGGACUGAAACAGGCCCCUAGAGCUUGGUACAACAAAAUGGAUAAUCAUUUGUUGAAAUUGAGUUUUGCAAGAAGUCCCAGUGAAGCUACAUUGUAUGUUAAAGCUGAGAAUGAAGAUUUGUUAAUUACUUCCUUAUAUGUGGAUGACGUUUUGAUCAUAGGAAGCAGCAAUGAGUUGGUACAACAAUUCAAGAAGGAAAUGCAGUCUAUUUGAGAUGACUGAUCUUGGAGAAAUGACCUUCUUCCUUGGUUUAGAGGUUCAUCAAACAAGUCAUAGAACCUUCAUUUGUCAAGAAAAAUAUGCAAAUGAUGUGCUUAAGAAGUUUGGGAUGGAAAAUUGCAGCAGUAUCAACACUCCUUUGGCCCAAAAUGAGAAAAUGAGCAAAGAAGAUGAUUCAGAGAAAAAUAUAUUCAAGAAUUUACAGAAGUGUAAUUGGAUGUCUAUUGUAUUUAACAGCCUUAAGACCUAAUAUUACGUUUGUAACCAGCCUAUUAUCUAGGUUCAUGCAUAAUCCUAGCCAAAGGCACUUCAAGGCUGCAAAAAGGGUACUCAGGUAUGGGAAGGGAACCAGUAAUUUGGGCAUUUUGUUCAAGACUGGUCAAAAAGUGAAGCUUAUUGGGUAUAUGGAUAGUGAUUGGGGAGGCUCAAUUGAUGACAUGAAGAGUAGGAUUCAUAUUUUCUAUUGGUUCAAGAGCUGUUAGCUAGAGUUCAAGAAAGCAAGAUUGGUAGCUCAGUCUACAGCAGAAGCAUAAUACAAUUUUGUUGCUGCUGCUGCUGUGAAUGAGGCUAUUUGGCUUAGAAAGAUUAUGAAAGAUUUGAAGCAGGAACAAUGAGAAGUUACUGUGAUCUUCUAUGAUAAUCAGUCAGCUAUAACAAUGGCAAAAAACCCAUUUUUCCAUGGUAGAACCAAACAUAUCAAGAUCAAAUUUCAUUUUAUUAGAGAAGCAGAAAAAGAAGAAGAAGUGAAGCUCAUUCAUUGUGAUUCUGAAGUUCAAAUUGCUGAUCUCUUAGCCAAAGGAUUGUCUAAAGUCAUAUUUGAAAUAUUGAGGAGUCUUGGUGUUUCUAACAAAAAUUUCAAGAAGUGAAGAUGGUAGUGACAUUUUUGCUGUUGCAAGUAUCAGAAAAUUAUGUCCUUUUUGGUUUAUUAUCUUUGCUUUGCUUGUAAUCUUAGCAUAGCAUGGUCAAGUAUGGCCUAAGUGUUGUUUAGGAGAAAGUGUAGUAGCUAAGUAUGAAAA
rnacentral:lncRNA from 1 species